AUGAGUGUCAGUGGAUCCGUUUGGUGUCAGAAAAAGCAGGCGCCCUGGCCCUUUUCUGGAGGUGCUGGGAUCCUUUCUCCAUCUUUCCCUCCAGCAGGUGCCUCUGGCCUUGGUGUUAUUCUUGCUUCCCUCCAGGGUGUCCUCAUCCUAGAGGGCCGUCUGGGGGGUCCUCUGGGACCUUGGGUUGGCGGUGUCUCGGGGCCGCAGUCCACUUCACCUGAGCCCUUUGUGGCACGUGGCUCUCUCACGAUUCCCCAGCGGGACUUGGGGCUUUGUUGCUGCAUCUGGCUGUACCCGGGAGGCACUGACAUGUCUGUUCACCGCUUGAUCCGCAGGGGCUGUGUUUGUGCUUUCUGGCAUUGUAUUUGGCCCCGAGCGCUUACUGGACACUCAAGAAAUGGCUGUCCCUUCUCUGGUUGCUGUCUGCUAGCCCUCUCACCAGCCUGGGCUCUGUCACUCGGCCUGUCUGCUUUAAGGAAUACUCAGUCUACCCCAGCACACUCCUUCUGCUUGAAGAGCGGGCUGGAAGGAGAAAGGUGUCCUCUUUCUGCUCAUGUGGAAAUUGCCUGGGAAGCUAGUAAGCUGUUGGCUCUGAAGGCAGUUGGCUGUCCUGAGUUUUCGAGUCCCUUGGAAGGAUUCUGGGGAGUUGGCCGAUUGGCUGCAGACCCGAGCUCAUCUGACGAUGUGAACAGCCUCCUGAGACCUACAGGAAUGUGAUGACAUCAGUCGUUGUCCCCCUAGCUGGUCCACUUUAGCUCAUGGUAUCCUCUGACGACUUCCCUGGAAGGAGACGCUCCCUUACAGAUGGGGAAGCUGGGCCUUUUGGCUGAAGUCAUUGAUUCCUGAGGUCACACAGUUGUAGGUGAGCUGGGAUUACUCAGUGGCCUGGCCGGGUGUGGGCACCUGUGGAUCCUGGUGGGGGUGUGGGCUGCUCAGCGCUGGGUGACCACAGCGGGACUGAUGUGCAAGGCCAGGGUACUGUGGGUUCUUACCCGUCGGGCCUCCCUCCACAUUUGGGUUUGCAGGGGUCCUGACUCCUAACUCCGGGCGUGUCCACGUGAGGGGGGAAGAUCACUAAACUCUGUCAACAUGAUGGGGAUUUUUAAGAACAUCCUUGCUCAGGCCUGGGGUUGCUAUGUUUCUGUGUUCUUGGCUCACUGUGUUUUCCUGGAAAAAUAAAUAAAAAACACUGGCCA
rnacentral:lncRNA from 1 species